rnacentral:rRNA from 1 species
AUUGAACGCUGGCGGCAGGCCUAACACAUGCAAGUCGAACGGUAACAGGAAACAGCUUGCUGUUUCGCUGACGAGUGGCGGACGGGUGAGUAAUGUCUGGGAAACUGCCUGAUGGAGGGGGAUAACUACUGGAAACGGUAGCUAAUACCGCAUAACGUCGCAAGACCAAAGAGGGGGACCUUCGGGCCUCUUUCCAUCAGAUGUGCCCAGAUGGGAUUAGCUAGUAGGUGGGGUAACGGCUCACCUAGGCGACGAUCCCUAGCUGGUCUGAGAGGAUGACCAGCCACACUGGAACUGAGACACGGUCCAGACUCCUACGGGAGGCAGCAGUGGGGAAUAUUGCACAAUGGGCGCAAGCCUGAUGCAGCCAUGCCGCGUGUAUGAAGAAGGCCUUCGGGUUGUAAAGUACUUUCAGCGGGGAGGAAGGGAGUAAAGUUAAUACCUUGGCUCAUUGACGUUACCCGCAGAAGAAGCACCGGCUAACUCCGUG